GGUAACUUCGUUAUUGGACGGACAAAAGAAGUUGCCGUGGGAGCAUUGUUUCUAUGACAAGGGAGUUGACCUGACCUGGUGGAUUCAGUACCGUUUCAGAGAAAAGGUAGACUCCGGGGAGUGUCAGCGGCAGAAUCUCUCUCACAGAAACUAGCACGGGGCAAGCCUAACCUGCACCAACUGUGUGGUUUCAGAUGGUCAGAGCAAGAAGAAAGGGAAUCUCUCAGUCUCUCAAAAAGCACAGAAUAUAGCUGCCAGCCUGAAGAGGUAGAAAACUAGAAGGAAAAUGAGAAACCACAAAGAACACACACCCAGCUUCCCACAACUUUAUAAACUAUAGGCUUUGAUUACUGCAAACUCAAUAUUUUUCCAGUGAAGCCAAAGAGUUUUUUUAAUCCCUUUCAGCAUUAAAGAGGGAACAGUUUACUCUCAUCUUGCUAUGAGAGUAAGCAAUAUAUCCCAUUUUGCUGUUUUCCU